UUUAUUGGAGAGUUUGAUCCUGGCUCAGGAUGAACGCUGGCGGCGUGCCUAAUACAUGCAAGUCGAGCGAAUGGAUUGAGAGCUUGCUCUCAAGAAGUUAGCGGCGGACGGGUGAGUAACACGUGGGUAACCUGCCCAUAAGACUGGGAUAACUCCGGGAAACCGGGGCUAAUACCGGAUAACAUUUUGAACUGCAUGGUUCGAAAUUGAAAGGCGGCUUCGGCUGUCACUUAUGGAUGGACCCGCGUCGCAUUAGCUAGUUGGUGAGGUAACGGCUCACCAAGGCAACGAUGCGUAGCCGACCUGAGAG
rnacentral:rRNA from 3 species